GCUUGAACAAUCGUGUGCGCAGUCAUUGGGUGUUGAAACUCAAAGGCGCAAUGAAAGUAAAGCAUCCGCAAGGGUGCGACGUGUGAUCUGAAUAGUCUCGACUGUUUGGAGCAACAUGGCCCCAUUCUGGCCGCUUGCGGCGGGGUGGAGGAAGAGCGUACGCGGUGAGACCCGAAAGAUGGUGAACUAUUCCUGAGCAGGAUGAAGCCAGAGGAAACUCUGGUGGAAGUCCGAAGCGAUUCUGACGUGCAAAUCGAUCGUCUGACUUGGGUAUAGGGGCGAAAGACUAAUCGAACCAUCUAGUAGCUGGUUCCUUCCGAAAAGCUUCGUGAUAUCUUUUUCCGGGGUCCUGAUGAUGCCCGCCUUCCUCAAUGGUAUCGCUACUAAUGGGUUGGAAAGGGAAAAAUACAUCGUGGGGCUAACCUGGUAUUCCAUUGUUGCUCCUUUUCACCUCUUCUUUGGUCGUUGGAUUCCGCUUGUUAUUUCCACAAUCUUUGGAGCAUUGGUUCCUGGUUCUUUUUGCAGGAUAACUACCAGGCUGGCCUGCAUUUAAAGUCUGUAGAAUGCUUUCAUUCCUAAGUGCAGCAGACGGAGCCCUCUAAACUACCUCGUCGGAUGUAUCGUCAAAAAGAGUGUUCCCACGCUGUGUAAGUUGCUUAACCCUCUCAAGUAUUAAACUACUACACUGCAAAUGGAGGACGGGUCCUUUCUAGUUUUUCCCUUGAUUUUCUUCUCGUUGCUUAUUCUCCACAAUCAACGGAUUACAAGUCUGGACCCACUUUUUGAAGACGCCCAACAGAAAAAGAAAGAAUAAGCCGAUUUGAAUGGUAGAUACCUCUAGAGUUCGGUAUCCCUUUGUGCGAUAAUAUCCCCCACCUUGUUCCCUUGCACUUUUUAGGGGGGAUUACCUGAUUAAUAUAGGAUAAUCCUUAGCACCUUUUAGAUCUCUGAUAUUCCGCUUAGGCAACUUCGCUGAACCACCCAAUCGA
rnacentral:rRNA from 1 species